GGUGGACACUCUGGGUACUGUGGUGUCUUCUAGAGCCGUCUGCAAGGAGGCACCUGGCAGGGCCUGCAAACUUAGCUGAGGAAAGCUUGAUGCUGCUGGGCAGCUGGACUGUUUCUGCUAGGGUGCAGUAUGGACGUAUGUGUGGGAGACUCUGGGACAUGAAGGCUGAUCGGGGAAAAUAAAGUGCUGAAAAUGCCAAACUUCUGAGGCACAGAGGCCCAGAAAUACUUUUUACACUCUGAAAAUAUCAGCAGUGCUUGGUUGCUUGUGCGCUUUCCCGGAAGAAGAGCCGCCAGGGUAGGCUUAAUUUUCUGAUUCUGAGUAGUUUUGAGAAAUGUUGA